CAGAAAUCUCCAGUUCCCUGUGAAUUAAUUUUCUAUGUGCAGAUAGUUUCUUCGUAUUCAUGUGUAAUUCUUCAGCGAGCCCAAAACAGGCAAGACAGACGGUGCUAGAUACACAUCGUUGAGGAACAUAUUUUUUGAUUCGAUUCGGCCUUGGAGAAUUUUUGUCGUUUUACAAAAAGAAAAGUAAAGAGGAAACAGGAUUCCAGUAAAGUGCAAGAAAGGUGUUCCAGACCGUCUCCCAGGUGUAACAGACGGUGUGCCGUGGAAUUAGAUCCGGCUAACGGGAUGACCCUGGAGGAUGAACGUUCACUGACCGACAAACCAGAGUCAAUGUGCCACAGCUAGAGUGCUACAAAGCACAAACACACUCAGGAUAUUUGUUAUACUUGAGCCGGUCAUGUUAUUAUUUGAUCGUGAGGAGAAAUGUGCUCAUGGUUCUCUACUGUGUAAAAGAGGCACUGGGCCACAAAAUAGAGAGGGAAGUAAUAUAGACAAGCCAAUAUAGUAACCAGGCCUGACUAGCAGCUGGUAAAUAAAGGCAAUAAGUGAGAAAUCAUUUUGAAGUGGCCCUGAAUUUCUUUGGAAGGUUCACUUUUUUAUCACAAGUCAGGGAGCGAAAUCUCAUCUGAAACAGAUGUAUUGACUUGCAGA